UGACAUAAGUAACGAUAAAGCGGGUGAAAAGCCCGCUCGCCGGAAGACCAAGGGUUCCUGUCCAACGUUAAUCGGGGCAGGGUGAGUCGACCCCUAAGGCGAGGCCGAAAGGCGUAGUCGAUGGGAAACAGGUUAAUAUUCCUGUACUUGGUGUUACUGCGAAGGGGGGACGGAGAAGGCUAUGUUGGCCGGGCGACGGUUGUCCCGGUUUAAGCGUGUAGGCUGGUUUUCCAGGCAAAUCCGGAAAACCAAGGCUGAGGCGUGAUGACGAGGCACUACGGUGCUGAAGCGACAAAUGCCCUGCUUCCAGGAAAAGCCUCUAAGCAUCAGGUAACAUCAAAUCGUACCCCAAACCGACACAGGUGGUCAGGUAGAGAAUACCAAGGCGCUUGAGAGAACUCGGGUGAAGGAACUAGGCAAAAUGGUGCCGUAACUUCGGGAGAAGGCACGCUGAUAUGUAGGUGAAGCGACUUGCUCGUGGAGCUGAAAUCAGUCGAAGAUACCAGCUGGCUGCAACUGUUUAUUAAAAACACAGCACUGUGCAAACACGAAAGUGGACGUAUACGGUGUGACGCCUGCCCGGUGCCGGAAGGUUAAUUGAUGGGGUUAGCGGUAACGCGAAGCUCUUGAUCGAAGCCCCGGUAAACGGCGGCCGUAACUAUAACGGUCCUAAGGUAGCGAAAUUCCUUGUCGGGUAAGUUCCGACCUGCACGAAUGGCGUAAUGAUGGCCAGGCUGUCUCCACCCGAGACUCAGUGAAAUUGAACUCGCUGUGAAGAUGCAGUGUACCCGCGGCAAGACGGAAAGACCCCGUGAACCUUUACUAUAGCUUGACACUGAACAUUGAGCCUUGAUGUGUAGGAUAGGUGGGAGGCUUUGAAGUGUGGACGCCAGUCUGCAUGGAGCCGACCUUGAAAUACCACCCUUUAAUGUUUGAUGUUCUAACGUUGGCCCGUAAUCCGGGUUGCGGACAGUGUCUGGUGGGUAGUUUGACUGGGGCGGUCUCCUCCUAAAGAGUAACGGAGGAGCACGAAGGUUGGCUAAUCCUGGUCGGACAUCAGGAGGUUAGUGCAAUGGCAUAAGCCAGCUUGACUGCGAGCGUGACGGCGCGAGCAGGUGCGAAAGCAGGUCAUAGUGAUCCGGUGGUUCUGAAUGGAAGGGCCAUCGCUCAACGGAUAAAAGGUACUCCGGGGAUAACAGGCUGAUACCGCCCAAGAGUUCAUAUCGACGGCGGUGUUUGGCACCUCGAUGUCGGCUCAUCACAUCCUGGGGCUGAAGUAGGUCCCAAGGGUAUGGCUGUUCGCCAUUUAAAGUGGUACGCGAGCUGGGUUUAGAACGUCGUGAGACAGUUCGGUCCCUAUCUGCCGUGGGCGCUGGAGAACUGAGGGGGGCUGCUCCUAGUACGAGAGGACCGGAGUGGACGCAUCACUGGUGUUCGGGUUGUCAUGCCAAUGGCACUGCCCGGUAGCUAAAUGCGGAAGAGAUAAGUGCUGAAAGCAUCUAAGCACGAAACUUGCCCCGAGAUG
rnacentral:rRNA from 1 species